CGGGUGAGGUAACACGUGAGCAACCUGCCUUCUACACAGGGAUAACAGCCGGAAACGGCUGCUAAUACCGGAUAAGACCACACCGAGGCAUCUCGGAGGGGUCAAAGCGCUUUAGCGGUAGAAGAUGGGCUCGCGUCCCAUUAGCUAGUUGGUGAGAUAACAGCCCACCAAGGCGACGAUGGGUAGCCGACUUGAGAGAGUGAUCGGCCACAUUGGAAUUGAGACACGGUCCAGACUCCUUCGGGAGGCAGCAGUGGGGAAUAUUGGGCAAUGGAGGAAACUCUUACCCAGCCAAUGCCGCGUGGAUGAGGAAGGCCUUCGGGUUGUAAAGUCCUUUUAUUGAUGAUAAAGAAAGUGAUAUUAGUCAAUGAAUAAGCCCCGGCUAACUACGUGCCAGCCGCAGC
rnacentral:rRNA from 1 species